AGAAGUGAAAGUUUCAAGCGUUGGAAGGAAGCAAAGAAGAGUUGUGUAAGGCUAACGAGAGCGGAGAUGAGGCUUGCACGUGCUCUAUUUGAAACAACACCAUUGUAGAGGUAUGGGGUACUGCAGCAAGCAGCGAUUUGGGCAGCAUUCGAUAAAGGGAUUUGGAAGAGCAGCUGUAAACCGAAAGAGACGUGCGUAACAGCAGAUAUCUGUGAAACCAUACCACAAGAGGAAAUAAUACCAGCAGAUCUGAAGGAAGCAGCUCCAAGAAG